rnacentral:rRNA from 1 species
AGCGAACGCUGGCGGCAUGCUUAACACAUGCAAGUCGAACGCCGUAGCAAUACGGAGUGGCAGACGGGUGAGUAACACGUGGGAACGUACCCUUCGGUUCGGGAUAACUCAGGGAAACUUGAGCUAAUACCGGAUACGUCCGAGAGGAGAAAGACUUAUUGCCGAGGGAUCGGCCCGCGUCUGAUUAGCUUGUUGGUGAGGUAACGGCUCACCAAGGCGACGAUCAGUAGCNGGUCUGAGAGGAUGAUCAGCCACAUUGGGACUGAGACACGGCCCAAAUCCUACGGGAGGCAGCAGUGGGGAAUAUUGGACAAUGGCGCAAGCCUGAUCCAGCCAUGCCGCGUGAGU